rnacentral:misc_RNA from 1 species
UCCGGUUUGACACCGGCAGUCUCGCUAGAGUCCUCGCCAUGACGCGUUAGUAACUAACGAUAGGGGUUGCGCUCGUUAAGGGACUUAACCCGACACUUCACAGCACGAGCUGACGACAGCCAUGCAGCACCUGUGCACGUUCCACCCAAAGGGCGUGGCCAAUCUUUCGAAAGGUUAAUCCGUGCAUGUCAAACCCAGGUAAGGUUCUUCGCGUUGCCUCGAAUUAAGCAACAUGCUCCACCGCUUGUGUGAGCCCCCGUCAAUUCCUUUGAGUUUUAGCCUUGCGACCGUACUCCCCAGGCGGCACACUUAACACUUUUGCUUCGGCCGCGACGACGUCAGAGCCGCCGCGACCUAGUGUGCAUCGUUUACGGCGUGGACUAC